rnacentral:rRNA from 1 species
AACGAACGCUGGCGGCAGGCUUAACACAUGCAAGUCGAAUGCUCCGCAAGGGGAGUGGCAGACGGGUGAGUAACGCGUGGGAACAUACCCUUUCCUGCGGAAUAGCUCCGGGAAACUGGAAUUAAUACCGCAUACGCCCUACGGGGGAAAGAUUUAUCGGGGAAGGAUUGGCCCGCGUUGGAUUAGCUAGUUGGUGGGGUAAAGGCCUACCAAGGCGACGAUCCAUAGCUGGUCUGAGAGGAUGAUCAGCCACAUUGGGACUGAGACACGGCCCAAACUCCUACGGGAGGCAGCAGUGGGGAAUAUUGGACAAUGGGCGCAAGCCUGAUCCAGCCAUGCCGCGUGAGUGAUGAAGGCCUUAGGGUUGUAAAGCUCUUUCACCGGAGAAGAUAAUGACGGUAUCCGGAGAAGAAGCCCCGGCUAACUUCGUGCCAGCCGCCGCAGUAAGAC